AGCCAUAUCACGUUCAAACCCCGGUUCUCGUAAGAUCACAGAAGUUAAGCAUCGUGGGACCUGGUCAGUACCAAAAUGAGUGACCACCGGACAAUACCAGUUGCUGUAAU